AGCAAUAGAGAAGUGAGGCAAAACUUCUGACUUUACAAUGAAUGCAAAAGUUAAGGAGAAGGAAGUUCCCCAAUGACACAUUUCCUUUUUUUAGAGCUAGUGUGUCUUUAACCCACAGCACAGUCUAUGGACAGCUGCAAAUCAGACUGAUGAAAUGUUUCAUUUCUUCUAUUCAAGUAGAAAAUAGAGUACACACAAAGGCAGUCUUGUUAUACAAGAAAUAUCAGAAUGCUGAAAUGACAAAACCGCAGUGUUAUUUGCAGUCACACAGCAGGAGCUGCAGCACGGACAGUUUCUCCUAUCCAGGGUCAGACCACAAGGGGCGGCACCUACUUUGCUCUGCAACUCACCUCAACCUCCGCUGGCACCACCCCUGUUUUUCCAGUUUGGAACAUGCUAUAGCGAAAAAUAAUAAAAGUGACAGCUGACCUGAAGCACUUGAUGUGGGCGUACCCUACAGAAACACUCAAGACUGCAUUGCUGAAAACUCAGCAGAUUCUCUAUUACAGAGGGGUUUGGCACCUAAACUAAGUCACUGAGAGGAAAACACCAGAUGCCAGUCUGCAAGUUUUACUAACUGGUAUUGCCGGAGACACUCAAAUUCCUCAGACUCAACAGAAUAACCAGGUAAUGUUAUAUUAGCAUUUGAC